GAGUACGGCCGCAAGGUUAAAACUCAAAUGAAUUGACGGGGGCCCGCACAAGCGGUGGAGCAUGUGGUUUAAUUCGAUGCAACGCGAAGAACCUUACCUGGUCUUGACAUCCACGGAAGUUUUCAGAGAUGAGAAUGUGCCUUCGGGAACCGUGAGACAGGUGCUGCAUGGCUGUCGUCAGCUCGUGUUGUGAAAUGUUGGGUUAAGUCCCGCAACGAGCGCAACCCUUAUCCUUUGUUGCCAGCGGUCCGGCCGGGAACUCAAAGGAGACUGCCAGUGAUAAACUGGAGGAAGGUGGGGAUGACGUCAAGUCAUCAUGGCCCUUACGACCAGGGCUACACACGUGCUACAAUGGCGCAUACAAAGAGAAGCGACCUCGCGAGAGCAAGCGGACCUCAUAAAGUGCGUCGUAGUCCGGAUUGGAGUCUGCAACUCGACUCCAUGAAGUCGGAAUCGCUAGUAAUCGUGGAUCAGAAUGCCACGGUGAAUACGUUCCCGGGCCUUGUACACACCGCCCGUCACACCAUGGGAGUGGGUUGCAAAAGAAGUAGGUAGCUUAACCUUCGGGAGGGCGCUUACCACUUUGUGAUUCAUGACUGGGGUGAAGUCGUAACAAGGUAACCGUAGGGGAACCUGCGGUUGGAUCACCUCCUUACCUUAAAGAAGC
rnacentral:rRNA from 2 species